rnacentral:misc_RNA from 1 species
AAAAAAAAAAAAAACCGAUGACUACUGAAUGAUUCUGGCUUCAUAAUUAGCCUUUCAUUCUUAAGGGCAGGUGAAAAUCUUGCCAUUUGUAAUAAAGUCAAGCAGAACAUUAUAGCCACUAUUUGGAAUUAUGGAUAGGUCAUUGGGUCAGUGUAUUUUUGAGUGGUGGUGGCUGAUUGAUAUUAGAAAACCAAGUUGAUUUGUUGGAUAACCUGUCAAUUUAUUGGGGGCCUGCUGAUAGGUUCUUUCAACUUUAGCUUUAAAGUCCCACUGGCACAAGUUGGUUGUUUGUUUUUGGUAAGCCGUGUUAUCACGCGACUGCCACUAAGCAAUAAGUGUAGUCGUUGAUAAGUGAAAUUGAUUUUAUUCUAAUUAAUUAUAUAAUGGAGCAGUUGUACUUAAACUAUAAUGCCAAU